rfam:Enterococcus sp. 4G2_DIV0659 scaffold00004, whole genome shotgun sequence.
GGUUAAGUGAAUAAGGGCGCACGGUGGAUGCCUUGGCAUUAGGAGCCGAUGAAGGACGGGACUAACACCGAUAUGCUUUGGGGAGCUGUAAGUGAGCUAUGAUCCAGAGAUUUCCGAAUGGGGAAACCCAGCAUCUUUUAUAGGAUGUUACUUUCCAGUGAAUACAUAGCUGGUUAGAGGUAGACGCAGAGAACUGAAACAUCUAAGUACCUGCAGGAAGAGAAAGAAAAUUCGAUUCCCUGAGUAGCGGCGAGCGAAACGGGAAGAGCCCAAACCAACAAGCUUGCUUGUUGGGGUUGUAGGACUCCGUUGUGGUAGUCUGUCAAGAUAGUCGAAGGACUUGGAAAGGUCCGCCAAAGUGGGUAAUAGCCCCGUAGACGAAAUGUUGACAACACCUAGGAGGAUCCUGAGUACGGCGGAACACGAGAAAUUCCGUCGGAAUCCGCGGGGACCAUCCCGCAAGGCUAAAUACUCCCUAAUGACCGAUAGUGAACCAGUACCGUGAGGGAAAGGUGAAAAGCACCCCGGAAGGGGAGUGAAAUAGAUCCUGAAACCGUGUGCCUACAACAAGUCAAAGCCCGUUAAUGGGUGAUGGCGUGCCUUUUGUAGAAUGAACCGGCGAGUUACGAUUGCAUGCGAGGUUAAGUUGAAGAGACGGAGCCGCAGCGAAAGCGAGUCUGAAUAGGGCGAUUGAGUAUGUAGUCGUAGACCCGAAACCAUGUGAUCUACCCAUGGCCAGGUUGAAGGUGUGGUAAAACGCACUGGAGGACCGAACCCACGUACGUUGAAAAGUGCGGGGAUGAGCUGUGGGUAGCGGAGAAAUUCCAAACGAACUUGGAGAUAGCUGGUUCUCUCCGAAAUAGCUUUAGGGCUAGCGUCGAAGUUAAGAAUGAUGGAGGUAGAGCACUGUUUGGACUAGGGGCCCAUCUCGGGUUACCGAAUUCAGAUAAACUCCGAAUGCCAUUCAUUCAUAUUCGGCAGUCAGACUGCGAGUGAUAAGAUCCGUAGUCGAAAGGGAAACAGCCCAGACCACCAGCUAAGGUCCCAAAAUAUAUGUUAAGUGGAAAAGGAUGUGGGGUUGCACAGACAACUAGGAUGUUGGCUUAGAAGCAGCCACCAUUUAAAGAGUGCGUAAUAGCUCACUAGUCGAGUGACCCUGCGCCGAAAAUGUACCGGGGCUAAACAUAUUACCGAAGCUGUGGAUUACACCUCUGGUGUAAUGGUAGGAGAGCGUUCUAAGGGCGUUGAAGGUCGAUCGUGAGGACGGCUGGAGCGCUUAGAAGUGAGAAUGCCGGUAUGAGUAGCGAAAGACGGGUGAGAAUCCCGUCCACCGUAUGACUAAGGUUUCCUGGGGAAGGCUCGUCCGCCCAGGGUUAGUCGGGACCUAAGCCGAGGCCGAUAGGCGUAGGCGAUGGACAACAGGUUGAUAUUCCUGUACCAGUUGUUUUUGUUUGAGCAAUGGAGGGACGCAGGAGGCUAAGGAAUGCAUGCGACUGGAAGUGCAUGUCCAAGCAGUAAGUCUUGAGUAGAGUCAAAUGCUUUACUCUCUACGGACAAGCUGUGAUGGGGAGGGAAAUAAUAGUACCGAAGUUCCUGAUGUCACACUGUCAAGAAAAGCUUCUAGUGAGAAAACAACUGCCCGUACCGUAAACCGACACAGGUAGUCGAGGAGAGUAUCCUAAGGUGAGCGAGCGAACUCUCGUUAAGGAACUCGGCAAAAUGACCCCGUAACUUCGG